rnacentral:lncRNA from 1 species
UGAGGUGGCAACCCUGUAUCUCCACUGAAAAACCAGGACUUGUUAAAUGUGUCUUCUACAUGUAAUAAUUUUCAUUUCCUCCAAUUUGGUCAAAUAAGUAGCUGUCUCUAUGUAUUAGCAAUCCUAUAGCAAACUUACUGAUCCAUGUACCUCAUCCAAUCUUUAAAUGGUUUUUGAUGAAUCCUUCACUCCCAAUACUGGUUACUAGGACAUAAACACAGCUAAAUGCAGACAUUGGCUUUCUCCAGGCUAAAAACAGCCUGGGGUCUCAAUUCAGGGGCCUUCAUGGAGUACAUCAGCAUUGCCAGUUCCCAGACAGAAGCAAUACCGGCUCUAUCUGCCAAUGUCAAAAGAAAACAGAUUCAAAGGGAUUUUUGUUUUCCUUAGAGGUUUUCUUAAAUUCAGUAACUCUAAUGCAUAAAUGACUUGCAUUUUCUAAGUACUGAACUUCAUGUUAAAAAUCUUAUACAAUUUUCUACAAAACAAGCCGAGCAACUGAAUUCAUUUGAAGCCUAUGGAGGAAUGAACACUGUGUAAUAGAACCUAACAGAACCAUGUACACACACACACUGAACCGAAACUAGUUCCCCUCCUAACAACCACACACACACACACUGAACCGAAACUAGUUCCCCUCCUAACAACCACGCACACACACACUGAAACGAAACAAGUUCCCCUAACAGAACCACACACACACACACACACACUGAACCGAAACAAGUUCCCCUCCUAACUACGUACACACACACACUGAAAUGAAACUAGUUCCCCUCCUACCACACACACACACACACACACUCAACUGAAACUAGUUCCCCUCCUAACCACACACACACACACACACACUCAACUGAAACUAGUUCCCCUAACAGAACCAUGCACACACACACACACACACACACUGAACUGAAACAAGUUCCCCUCCUAACAGAACCACACACACACACACACACACUGAACCAAAACAAGUUCCCCUCCUAACAACCACACACACACACACGCACUGAACCAAAACAAGUUCCCCUCCUAACAACUACAUACACACACACACUGAAACGAAACUAGUUCCCCUCCUAACAACCACACACACACACGCUGAACCAAAACAAGUUCCCCUCCUAACAACCACACACACACACACUGAAACGAAACUAGUUCCCCUCCUAACCACACACACACACACACACACACACACUCAACCGAAACUAGUUCCCCUCCUAACAGAAACACACACACACACACAUACUCAACCGAAACUAGUUCCCCUCCUAACAGAACCACACACGCACACACACACACUGAACCGAAACUAGUUCCCCUCCUAACAGAACCAUACACACACACACACACACUCAACCGAAACUAGUCCCCCUAACAGAACCACACAAACACACACACACUCAACCGAAACUAGUUCCCCUAACAACCACACACACACACACACACGCUGAACCAAAACUAGUUCCCCUCCUAACAAAACCACACACACACACACACACACAUGCUGAACCAAAACAAGUUCCCCUCCUAACAACCACACACACACACACACGCUGAACCAAAACUAGUUCCCGUCCUAACAGAACCACACACACAUACACACAGACACACACACACACACACGCUGAACCAAAACUAGUUCCCCUAACAGAACCACACACACAUACACACACACACACACACACACACACUGAACCGAAACUAGUUCCCCUCCUAACAGAACCAUACACACACACACACACACACACACACUCAACCGAAACUAGUUCCCCUAACAGAACCACAUACACACACACGCUGAACCAAAACUAGUUCCCCUCCGAACAGAACCACACACACACACACACACACACACUGAACCAAAACUAGUUCCCCUCCUAACAGAACCACGCGCGCGCGCGCACACACACACACACACACACACACACGCUGAACCGAAACUAGUUCCCCUCUUAACCAUGCACACACAUACUGAACCGAAACCAGUUCCCCUAAUAGAACCAUGUACACACACAACACUGAGUUGAACAAAUGAAGCAGCUGGUUCACGUUAUAAAACUGACCUUCUCUUUUUAAAAAUAAUUUGCUAAGGUUUAUAACUGCCUAAAAUAACUUGCUGAUGGCCAGUUCAAGCAUAAGCCCUCAUUGUAUUUAACGUUCUCAUUCUACUGAGAAUUGG